rnacentral:misc_RNA from 1 species
UACGGAGAGUGCAAGCGUUGUUCGGAAUCAUUGGGCGUAAAGGGCGUCUAGGUGGCUUGCCAAGUCAGGUGUGAAAUCCCUCGGCUCAACCGAGGAACUGCACUUGAAACUGGUGAGCUUGAGUGUCGGAGGGGGCAGCGGAAUUCCCGGUGUAGAGGUGAAAUUCGUAGAUAUCGGGAGGAACACCAGUGGCGAAGGCGGCUGUCUGGCCGAACACUGACACUGAAGCGCGAAAGCGUGGGGAGCAAACAGG